AUUACUUAAGUAAAUUAAUUGUUUGUUUUCUGCAUUAGGGCCAUUCAUUGAGUUUGAAGAGAUAAAUUUGCUUGAGUUCUGGGGAGACACGGAUAAUCAGAAACACGUUUAUGAAGACUUUGAUGAAGUGUUCUUAAACAUGAAUGCAUUACUUUCUGAAAAAUAUAACAAAACCCUAAAUCAAUCAUUAGAGGACCCAAAAGAUCAACCAGAAUAUGAUGAGCAGAGGACAUCAACAGCACCACCACCUCCACCCGAACAACAAGAGGGAAAAAGUGCAGAUCUGGAGUCACCAAUAAUUUCAAAUGAAGAACAAGGCAGAGAGUUUAAUGCUGAGCAAAAAUUGUACAGAGAUGCAGUAAUAGAACAGGGACCUGACACAGAAUCAACUCUAGAACCAGAGUCAAAUAGAGAAUUAACAGAGGAACAUAGACCACAGAGAGGGUCAACUGCAGAGCAAGGGUCACGCAGAGAAUCAACUGCAGAACAAAGACCACAGAGAGGGUCAACUGCAGAGCAAGGGUCACGCAGAGAAUCAGCUGCAGAACAAAGACCACAGAGAGGGUCAGCUGCAGAGCAAGGGUCACGCAGAGAAUCAGCUGCAGAACAAAGACCACAGAGAGGGUCAGCUGCAGAGCAAGGGUCACGCAGAGAAUCAGCUGCAGAACAAAGAUCACAGAGAGGGUCAGCUGCAGAGCAAGGGUCACGCAGAGAAUCAGCUGCAGAACAAAGAUCACAGAGAGGGUCAACUGCAGAGCAAGGGUCACGCAGAGAAUCAACUGCAGAACAAAGACCACAGAGAGGUUCAGCUGCAGAGCAAGGGUCACGCAGAGAGUCAGUAAUGGAACAAGGACCAUACAGAGACUCAACUGCAGAGCAUGGGUCACGCAGAGCAUCAGCUGCAGAACAAAAAGUGCAAAGAGGGUCCACUGCAGAGCAAGAGUUACUCACAGAGUCAGUGGAAGAACCACACACCGAGUCAGAACAAAGACCACACAGAAAGACAACUUCAGAACAACAGGACGGAGUCGCAGCUUCACAAUCAGCAACAGGUGAAGUUUUGUCUUCUACCUGGAGGAUGAAGUAUGUCAAAUUCGAAGAUGAGGAACAAGCAAACUUAAUCUAUGGUAACUCCAGGUUCACAGGUACAUAUUAACAGUAAAACUAGGAAGCAUAAAUAGAAGUAUAUUAGGUGGUUUUAAUGUUCCAUGGUAUAUUGUGGUAAAGAGUGGAUUUUGCUGACACUAUCCCC
rnacentral:lncRNA from 1 species